GACGAACGCUGGCGGCGUGCUUAACACAUGCAAGUCGAACGGAAAGGCCCUGCGUUUGUGGGGUGCUCGAGUGGCGAACGGGUGAGUAACACGUGAGUAACCUGCCCUUGACUUUGGGAUAACUUCAGGAAACUGGGGCUAAUACCGGAUAGGAGCUCCUGCUGCAUGGUGGGGGGUGGAAAGUUUCGGCGGUUGGGGAUGGACUCGCGGCUUAUCAGCUUGUUGGUGGGGUAGUGGCUGACCCAGGCUUUGACGGGUAGCCGGCCUGAGAGGGUGACCGGCCACCAGGGGACUGCGAGACGGACCAGUGGGCUACGGGGGACAGUGGGGGCAAAUAUUGCACAGUGAGAGGGAGCGUGAUGAAGAGACGCCGCGUGCGGGAAGACCGUCUGUGGGGAAAGAAAAGCUGUCGGCUAUUACGAAGCGUGAGUGACGGUAAUGAAUAAAGAAGCACCGGCUAACUACGUG
rnacentral:rRNA from 1 species